GCAACAGGGGCCUUCCAGCGGGAGCUGGCCGAUCGGUCAGGAGUGUGCCAGUCCACCCUGAGCCGAGCCAUGCCAGCUGUGUGGGACGGAAUCAUCCGAAUGUCAUCCAGCAUGGUUGGGAACAGGCUGGAGGCUGGCACUGUGCGCGAUGGGUGGCUUCUGGGGGACCGUGGCUACCCCCUAAGAACGUGGCUGAUGACCUGACCCUCUUACAAACCCCAACACCGACCAAGAGAGGAGGUAUAAUGACCUCCAUUCCCGGACGAGAAUAAUUGUGGAGAGGGCAAUCGGCCUGCUGAAGGGACGGUGGCGAUGCCUGGACAGGUCGGGGGGGAUGCUACUGUACAGACCUGAGAAGGUGUGCCACAUUGUGAUGGCCUGUGGCGUCCUCCACAAUGUGGCA